CGUCUACACGAGGUGCCCCGCUGUGUGUUGGGUAACGCCAGUUACUAAUCCCCCCACCCACCCCGGAAAAGCAGUGUGGUGUAAACAGGUGCUGGCUGCGCACCCAGGCAACACAUGCCGCUCCAAUAACAGGAUGAUAUGACAAUCGGAACAAAGAAGGCAGCCGCAUCCGUCCAGUCUGCCACAGCUGCUGAGGAGGAGGAUCCGGACCUUCAGCUGUGUGAUGAAUGAAAACAGGAGGAACUCGGAUCAGCUGGAAUGAUCUUUCAGGUAAUCCCUUAACCUAAGAGGAUGUGAAGAUGAGAGAAUGGCCAAGAGUACCUUCCACAAGAUGUCCCACCGUGUUCUGCUGUGAUCACUCUGGAUAGCACUUUCAACUCCACUGCAAGUCAGCCAGGUACAUAAGAAACAGCCGCUCUACUGUUAAAGCCCCAGGAAUGUUUGAAUUUUCACUUCCUGUUUGAUCAGCGUGGAGAGCUCGUCAGCAUGGAGUACACAAGCGUGGAGAGAUCAUCAGUAGGGAGACAAGGCCACAAACCUGCUCCAGCAUGGAGUACACAGGAGGUACUGGAUCUUAUUGCUGAAUGGGGAGAAGAGUCUGUGCAGGCAGAGCUCUGAUCCAGCAGAAGAAACACUGACAUCUAUGCCAGAAUCGCACAGAGCAUGGGGGAGAAGGGCUACACCAAGGAGCUUUGGUAAGAGUACCAGAAGACAAGGGAGGCGAACAGUCAUUCUGGUUCUGCCCCAGAGACAUGCCGCUUUUAUGAGAUGCUGCAUGCGAUUCUCAGCGGUGACCCCACCACUAACCCAAAAUGCUCCAUGGAUACCUCCCAGGAGCCCUGGGCAACCUUGAGCAACAAGGAGGAGGACAUUGUUGAAGUGGAGGGGGAGGAGAAUGCGAGGCAGGCAAGAGGAGGAUCCAUUCUCCCUGACAGCCAAGAACUGCUUUUAACCCUGGAGCCCAUCCCCUCUCAGAACCAGUUGAUGGCGGAGCGUGAUGCCGGGGGCAGCACCUCUGCUGAAAACUUCUCCGUUGGCACAUCCUCCACACUGGGACAGAGACUUUCCCAGAUUAGAAGGCAGAAAAAGAAGACUUGGGAGGACAUGUUCAAUGAGUUAAAGUGUGCCUCUGAGAGUGACAAGAUGGAGCUCAGCGCAUGGGGGAUUACACUGUCCAACAACUUGCAUAAGGACAGGGAGAACAGGAGAACGUGCAGGUAACAAGAGCAUGCCAUGCAGGAAGAGAUGCUGCAGAUUAUGAAGGAGCAAUCAGACAUGUUGAGGCGUCUGGUUGAGAUUCAGGAAAGGCAGCUGGAUGCUAGAGUCCCUCUGCAGCCUAUGCUGAACCUGCUGCCAUUGUCGCCAAGUCCCACAUCCUCCUCUCCCAAACAUCCUAGGAUGGGGGGCAGUGGCGCUGAAACAUUUUUAGUAGUGGGGGUGCUGAAAGCCAGCCUCAUUACCCCUGUCUGCCUCCCCCCAGAGCUGAGACUUGGAGCAGGGCUGUGUCUCCGGGAUGGGGGGACCCAGAGAGGGGUAAGAUGGCCAAGGCUGUGGCUACAGCUGGGGGUGGGGGUGGGGCUAGGAGCAGAGCCCCGGGUAGAGGCCAGCAGCUGGGAUCCCACGUAUGGGGCCAGGUGCAGGGCCCUGGGAGCAGAGGCCUGGGAGCAGGGGAUAGGGCCGGGCACGGGGCCAGCGGCUGGGGAGCAGGGUGUGGGGCUGGCCCCCGGGACCUGAACCGAGAAGUGGAGCCCCGGGCAAGGGGCCAAUGGACCCACAUAAAACUUGGGGGUGCUGCAGCACCCCCCGCACACUUACAUCCUGCACCUAUGAUUUGGGGGGGGGGGGGAGUCCGGUAUCCCUUGCACUCAACUCCAGGGGAUGGUACAAGGACCAGAAAGCACCCAGUCCCACACCUUUGAUUGUUAUUGCAGUGCAAUUGUAAGCAAGCUGUCCUUGUUCCUCCCUCCCGCCCCCCAACCCCCCCCUCCCCCGCCAGUGUUAUCAGCCC